rnacentral:rRNA from 1 species
ACUUGCAUACAGGUGCUGCACGGCUGUCGUCAGCUCGUGUCGUGAGAUGUUGGGUUAAGUCCCGCAACGAGCGCAACCCUCGUCCUUAGUUGCUAACAGUUCGGCUGAGAACUCUAAGGAGACUGCCUACGCAAGUAGGAGGAAGGUGAGGAUGACGUCAAGUCAUCAUGGCCCUUACGUCCAGGGCUACACACGUGCUACAAUGGGGUAUACAAAGAGCAGCAAUACGGUGACGUGGAGCAAAUCUCAAAAAUGCCUCCCAGUUCGGAUUGUAGUCUGCAACUCGACUACAUGAAGUUGGAAUCGCUAGUAAUCGUAGAUCAGCUAUG